AUUGUUUAGGGCUGUAACUGCGGUUGGAAUAAAUUACUUUUUUGUGUUGCUUCUUAGCCAGUGGUACUUUGCAUCUCCUACCUGAUAGAAGGAGACUGAAUGAGUGAUGGAGGGGAUGCGAGGGUUCCACUGUGAUUAUAAUGGCUAAUUACAGCGUGCUCAUACAGAUGGAAUAGUGGAGGUUGUAUCAAACCAUUUAUUUUACUAGCUUGAUUUGCUAUACUUGACCGUUUUGUUUUCUGUUUACCAGUGAGAAAGUUGUACCAAGACAUGAUAUUGAAGAUGAAGGCGCUGAAGAGCUUUUUUGUCGAUCAUAUCGGAGUGAGUUUGGAAGGACAAACAGACAGCACAUAAACAUGAAUAUAUU